AGUCGAGCGGUAGCACAGAGAGCUUGCUCUCGGGUGACGAGCGGCGGACGGGUGAGUAAUGUCUGGGAAACUGCCUGAUGGAGGGGGAUAACUACUGGAAACGGUAGCUAAUACCGCAUAACGUCGCAAGACCAAAGUGGGGGACCUUCGGGCCUCAUGCCAUCAGAUGUGCCCAGAUGGGAUUAGCUAGUAGGUGGGGUAACGGCUCACCUAGGCGACGAUCCCUAGCUGGUCUGAGAGGAUGACCAGCCACACUGGAACUGAGACACGGUCCAGACUCCUACGGGAGGCAGCAGUGGGGAAUAUUGCACAAUGGGCGCAAGCCUGAUGCAGCCAUGCCGCGUGUGUGAAGAAGGCCUUCGGGUUGUAAAGCACUUUCAGCGGGGAGGAAGGCGGUGAGGUUAAUAACCUCAUCGAUUGACGUUACCCGCAGAAGAAGCACCGGCUAACUCCGUGCCAGCAGCCGCGGUAAUACGGAGGGUGCAAGCGUUAAUCGGAAUUACUGGGCGUAAAGCGCACGCAGGCGGUCUGUCAAGUCGGAUGUGAAAUCCCCGGGCUCAACCUGGGAACUGCAUUCGAAACUGGCAGGCUAGAGUCUUGUAGAGGGGGGUAGAAUUCCAGGUGUAGCGGUGAAAUGCGUAGAGAUCUGGAGGAAUACCGGUGGCGAAGGCGGCCCCCUGGACAAAGACUGACGCUCAGGUGCGAAAGCGUGGGGAGCAAACAGGAUUAGAUACCCUGGUAGUCCACGCUGUAAACGAUGUCGAUUUGGAGGUUGUGCCCUUGAGGCGUGGCUUCCGGAGCUAACGCGUUAAAUCGACCGCCUGGGGAGUACGGCCGCAAGGUUAAAACUCAAAUGAAUUGACGGGGGCCCGCACAAGCGGUGGAGCAUGUGGUUUAAUUCGAUGCAACGCGAAGAACCUUACCUGGUCUUGACAUCCACAGAACUUUCCAGAGAUGGAUUGGUGCCUUCGGGAACUGUGAGACAGGUGCUGCAUGGCUGUCGUCAGCUCGUGUUGUGAAAUGUUGGGUUAAGUCCCGCAACGAGCGCAACCCUUAUCCUUUGUUGCCAGCGGUUCGGCCGGGAACUCAAAGGAGACUGCCAGUGAUAAACUGGAGGAAGGUGGGGAUGACGUCAAGUCAUCAUGGCCCUUACGACCAGGGCUACACACGUGCUACAAUGGCAUAUACAAAGAGAAGCGACCUCGCGAGAGCAAGCGGACCUCAUAAAGUAUGUCGUAGUCCGGAUUGGAGUCUGCAACUCGACUCCAUGAAGUCGGAAUCGCUAGUAAUCGUAGAUCAGAAUGCUACGGUGAAUACGUUCCCGGGCCUUGUACACACCGCCCGUCACACCAUGGGAGUGGGUUGCAAAAGAAGUAGGUAGCUUAACCUUCGGGAGGGCGCUUACCACUU
rnacentral:rRNA from 1 species